ACAUUUCCAAAGUUCUAUUUUGAAAAGAUUGUGUUUGUUAAUAUCAUCAUGAAGCUAGGAAGCAUUAUCAUACUCUUGGUGGCUUUGUUUGCUUUUUUCAGUUUCACCUAUGGAUUAGGUGAAGAACCCAAUAUCAAAUAUUGCCCUAGACUUCUUAAGGGAUUGAGUGGUGACUGUCUGCAUGGUGGUCCAGACUGCUAUGAUGAAUUCAAUUCAAGGUAUAAGGGUGCACAGGCUCGUCGUUGUAGAUGUGAAUCUACAGGAAAUACACACACAUGCUCAUGUUGUAUAGUUUGUGGAUCGAUGGAACAUAAGAAUUAUUUUCCUUUUGUAAGCCAAGAUGAUUUUAUCCCUGAAUGCUAAAAAUUUAGCGAGUUAAAUUAAUAAUAACCUCACAUCUUAAUUUAUGAGGUUUUUUAA